ACUCCUACGGGAGGCAGCAGUGGGGGAUAUUGCACAAUGGAGGAAACUCUGAUGCAGCGACGCCGCGUGAGGGAAGAAGGUCUUCGGAUUGUAAACCUCUGUCUUUGGGGACGAACAAAUGACGGUACCCAAGGAGGAAGCCACGGCUAACUACGUGCCAGCAGCCGCGGUAAU
rnacentral:rRNA from 1 species